AUCCAAUUGAAGAGUCGCAAAAUAAGACGAAACGUGCAUCCUGCAU
rnacentral:hammerhead_ribozyme from 1 species